GACGGAGGGUGCUAGCGUUGUUCGGAAUUACUGGGCGUAAAGGGCGCGUAGGCGGCUGCUCAAGUCGGGUGUGAAAGCCCGGGGCUCAACCCCGGAACGGCACCCGAGACUGGGCGGCUCGAGACCGGGAGAGGUGGGUGGAAUACCCAGUGUAGAGGCGAAAUUCGUAGAUAUUGGGUGGAACACCGGUGGCGAAAGCGGCUCACUGGCCCGGUUCUGACGCUGAGGCGCGAAAGCGUGGGGAGCAAACAGG
rnacentral:rRNA from 1 species